UCACCAUCACCCUCACCAUCACCAUCACGAUCAUCAUCACUCAUACAGCACAUGCUGUGCGCCAGCUGCCACUCCAAGAACUUCACGUGCAUUGACCCAUUUCAUGCUCACACAAUCCCAUGGGGUAGAUGCUAUUAUUUUCUUCAUUUUCCAAGUGAGGAAACUGAGGCACAGAAUGUUGAAGUGAUUCACUCAAGUCAGCAAUUACACAGAGCCAGGACGUGAACCUGCUUUCACCAAAACAGUGUAACCCCAGGCCACACCCUCGAAUUUCCCCAGUGUCCCCCUUCAAUCACCCUGGUAGGGGUCACCUCUGAGCCCUGGUGUUGGUGACUCCUGCAGGCUGCCGGCUUGCUAGCCUGAUGCCACAGGAGCCUCUUAAGAGCCUCCGGAAUGGACCACAACAGAGCAAAGACAAGAGGUACAAAGUCUUUCAUCCCAGCCCCGGGACAGGCUGUCGUGAGCCUGGCUUCCUGAGAGCGGUGCAGGUGGGGGCGGAGGCUGAUGGGGGUUGGGUGGGGACCUGAGGGCAGCCUUGGAAUGGGGCUGUUUAGAUACAAUGGGUUUGACUGCUUUUUGGAGAAAUAGGUGGAUAGAUGGGGGGGAAUUGAAAUUUUUAGACUGGAUGGUGCCUGAGAUCUCUUCCAUCUCUCAAUUCAUGUGACCCUACAGCAGAUGUUGGGAAACGCUUUCUGUGAAAGACCAGAAAAUGCAUAUUUAGGUACUGAGGAUUCUACCAUCUCUGUCAUGACUGCUCAACUCUGCUGUUGUACUACGAAAGCCCUUGGGCCAAAGUGCCGUCUCUCCCAUCUAUGUAGCCUCAAUCUCCACCCAGAGAGGCACCUUCUUGUUCAACCUGUGUUCUACUGCCUUUGUCCUUAAAACUGUAAGACCACUUUGGAGGGCCUUGCGCCUUAGGGAUGGUGAGGAGCCAUCCUUCAUCUCCUGUCAGAAACCCACAAAACUUCACAAAACCCACAGUAGC
rnacentral:lncRNA from 1 species